rnacentral:lncRNA from 1 species
UGCACCAUAUAGAGUGUUUUCCCCAGAAGUUUUUGUCAAAAUCGUUUCUCUCCGAUUUUUAGGGUAUCCGCAAGGAUUUUUGAAAAAAACUGUCUGAUCCUUUUCUUCUCUGCUUUAUGUGUGUUUGAUUAUACCUUGCUCCUAUGUUUUCUUUUAUUUAAUGCAUAUAUUGUCUUUUACCUUUUUCUUUUCUCCUGUUAAUUUCUGCUAUAUUUUUACUACUCUUCUACUAUAUGUGCAUAUCGUCAAAGUUAUUUAAUUGUUGACUCUAUUCAUGUUCAUACAUGGUUCAUCUGCUUGUGUUCAAGUUUGCACUUUCUUUUUCUUCUGAGUUCGUUCAUGUUCUGAGUUUCUCGAAUAUGUUCUUCAUGAUUUAUCUUCCUUUGUUGUUCAAGCAUGCUAUCAUGUCUGUUUUGUUGAGACUCUAAAAAAUAAAUGGUUUGCUUUCCCACCUCCAUGUGUGAUUCAACAUUUUGAAACCCUAGGAUUUGGGGUUUCCUUUUGGCGAAUUUGAUUUUUAUGUUUGAGUCAGGGUUCCACAUUGGGACCCUGGGGUCUCAUACUCACUAUGAGUCUGUAGGUUGAACUGCAUCUCCUUGCUUAUGAUUCUGAACUUUUAUUCGAUUAAAAUUCUUUUUAAACAACUUGACAGUCUUUUCUUGAUUUACAUGUUUGAGUGUUUAUAUACGAGAAAUCUUCUUUCAAAAAGGCUUUGCCAACUACUAAUUGAUUCUCAAUUCCCUUAAUUGUGUUGACUUGAUUGUUACUAGUAUUCCCUAAUUGAACCUUUCUUUACCUCUUUUCCUGACUCGAUUCAUUCGAGUAAAAGUCUGAAGUUUUAAUUUUUACUGGUUGAUUCCCUUUUUUUAUAAGCAGUGUACUAUUAGUUUGUUGCCUUAAAUAGCUUUUAUGUACUUACCCUUUAUUAUUACUGGGAAAAUAUUUUUUAAAAUCCCUUUCCAUAAUUGCCUUACCCGCAUGAACUCAGAAUCCCUUAACUAAAGGGAGACUGAUCAGAAUGAUAUUUACUUACCUUUACUUGCUUUCUUGCUACACUAUAAAAAGGGCUCGACCCUUCUGCGUUAAUAGGACAUAGGAUUUAGGCUUUAAGCUUUGAUAAAACCUUACAACUCUCACACACACUUUCAAUCACAAUACUUUUUCAAUACCUUCCACUCUCUGCUGAGACUUUUGUACUGCUUUACAAUUUGGCUUUUCAAGACUGCUGUUUUACUUACCCGUUUUUCCUGAAACUAGUAUGUCUGAUUUAACUUUUUGCCUCAAUCCUAUGUGUUUGAUUUAUAGAUUCAGUACUCUUUCCCACUUUGCUGUUCAUGUUCAGUAUUUAAAUUAAGUGUGUUUAUUUCCUUGUAUCUUGCUUCUAUUAUGAAUCCCUAUCCCCUAUAAGUAUUCGAGUUAAUGGUUUUGGCCUGAUAGCGUCUAAAUUACGACCCAGUUCUGAACCUGACCUUCAAUAGGUCCUAACCCCGAAUUUAAGCUGACAUGCUAGUUAGGAGUGUGCCACCAUCCCAAUUACUGGGCAUGACCACUAGUUUGUCAUGGCUCUUCCCUAAUUCCCCCUCUAUUGCACUUACUGUUAGACUCUAAGUUCUACCCCCUAUCCUAUGAGCCUUGCCUUGGGGACCUUGAGUUCCCUAUAAACUUGGACAUUAGAGGGCUGGCAAUUACACACUGCAUUGUCAUUCUGUAAUAUAAUUGGGUAUAAGCACUGCCCAGUUCACGACACUCGUUGGAUCUUAUACAUACACAAAAGAUAAGAAAAGCUUUGGAAAUAUGAUCUUUGGAUGUUGGUUUAUUUCAUGUGUCAGACUAGGAGUCGGAAUUAGGCUCUCCUUGGUUGGAAUUCUAGUUUCUGAUGUAAAUUACUUUUCAAGAUUCAUUCAAGUUGUAAUAAUUUGUAAUAACUAUGGGGUGAAUAGUAAAAAUGGGGGAGGGUCUCUCAUGUUAUCCAUAUGGGGUAGAUAUCAUGCUUUAGGUUUUAUUUAUGCAAUCACAAUAUUUUCGUUUAUGUAUCUGCAUUUAGAAAUCUUGCCUAUAAGAUUGUUUCAUUAUGCGUUUAAUAAUUCUGCCUAUAAGAUUGUUUCAUCAUGCAUUUAGAAAUCCUGCCUAUAUGAUUGUUUCAUUUCAGAAUUAGAAACCAUGUCUAUAAGUUUUUAUACUUCUGCACAUAGAAAUCAUAACUAUAGGUUUCUACACUUCUGCAUAUACACAUUGGGUAAACAGUCUAUAGGUUAAAAUAAUCAAUUGCAUCCUAGACACCAUGCUUAUAGGACUCCUGCACUUACAUAACCAUUUUAAACCAACAUCGCUUAGAAAUCAUGUAUAUAGGAUGUAGUCAAUUGAAUCAAUUUCAUCUACGAGUUUUUAAAUCAAUAGUGAUGUCAUUUUAGAAUCUGCAGAACUUUUGUUUAUAAAACCAGUAGCUUCUCUUUAGAAUCAGUAUGCCUUCUGCAUUGUUAUAUAUCAUGAUUACAUGCCUACUUGUAAGUGAUGCUAAAUAAUUUACUGCUUUAAAUUAGGAGGCCUACUUGAUCCUUAACUGCUAUGUGCUUCCCUUUCACUGCUUUAUGUGUUUUGUCUGUUGCAUUAGACUUUUGUGUCUUUUUAAUAUACCGAAUGCCUCCAGGACUGAUAGGAUUGGGACGGGUAAUAGCAUGAGUUAUGUAACAAUACUAUUAUGUGUUCUAAUACCUUAACAGGGUGGGAAUGGUAAAUAUGGAUAUGAUGAUCGGUGCGCUAAUACCAUAUUUAGCCCCUCUUUCGAGGAGUGGUUACCGGAUAUUGCAUUGAUGUGAUCCAUAUUAAUCAUAAAACUAGGACCCCCUCACUUCUAUUUACUUUCAUCAAUUUCUUGUAAAAUUGUUGAAGUCUUUCAUAAAAUUCCUGCCUCUUUUACCCUUUCUCAAGUUUUGACUUACUUGAAAUAUUGUAUGUGAACCCCUUCUAUUUGAGCCCUUAAUUGAUUACUUGAUUAUAUGAAGUCACAAUUGUAACAUGGCCGGGAACCACACUAGUGGAUCUUGAGGGGUGCCUAACACCUUCCCCUUGAGAUAAUUUCUAGCCCUUACCCAAACUCUGGUUCUUCAAACUCCAACUCUUCUUAGUGUCCUAAUGCACUUAAUCAUUAGCUGGAGACUCUUCAAACUCCAAAAACCAAUUCCCAAAAGGGAACGAGUUGUCCUCCAAAAUGUCAUAAACCCGAUUUCGCCUUAGAAAAAGGGGCACGACAGCAUGACAACUCUGCUGGGGAAUUUCUUCGGCUUUUACUAUAUCAUGUUAUUUGUGAUUUUAUUGUUUUUAUUCCCUUUACUUAAUGUCUUUAUCUCUUCUUCUAUGAAAUUGACUUGGCUCUUUGUUUCUUUUCUUUAAUGCUUUCUUUUACUCCAUUCCUUCAAAACUAUUGUAAUUAUGAGAAAUUAUUGUAAUCAUUACUUUAUGAACAUGCAAAUACAUGACAACUUAUUUCAUUCUUGUAAUUGCAUCCUCAACAUCAUAUCCACUCGUUCCAAACAAAAUACCAUAGCAAUGCUUAUAAUGAGUGGUUGCGCUCUUCCAAUAUUAUCACCCCAUAUAUUUGGAAAAGGCGUAUUUGGGGUAAAACCAGUCGAUUAGCGAUGCAGUCGACGGUUCCGUGCCUUUACUUCUUAAGUUUUCCGCUCAAGGAUACCGGUCUAACACCCCAUAUAAACCUUAUUCUGUUCAAUUAUGCAUGCACCGCGGUCAAACCUAGUCGAUUCAGUUAUGUUGUCCAUAUAAUGACUCUUUAAGAUAGUCUUUUCCAAAGUCCAUCGGGUUUCCUUGGAACCCAAACGGAAAUUACCACGUCUGUGCAUUUAUUUGGAGAACUAAAUGCUGCUUAUGCCAAUUAUUGAUAUUUAAAUAGUCGAGUCUGACGGGGUUAAGGGUCUAACACUUUAUUUUGUAGAAAAUGAGGCACGAAGUCCCCAGAUUCGGCAUGGUAACCAACAUUCAUUCAAGGUUGAUAAGUUGGUGGGAAGACCUUCACUCUAGUGAUCAGACCCUCGUCCACAAAUAUUUGGGAAAUUUGCCUUCUCUCUUGGAAAUCCAACCCGACAAAAAGUCAUAGAGGAUGCAACUCUAUUAUGGGAUGGUGAUAGAUCAGUGUUCUGCUUCGGGGACCUUGAAAUGACACCUCUGCUAGAGGAAACAAGAGGAUUCAUUGGUAUUCCAUAGGAGAUUCCGGGUUUACUUAUGCCGGAAAAUCGCAAGGGUAGGGGUUUUCUCAAAAUGAUGGGACUAAAGAAGAACACAAACUUGACCUGCUUGAAGGAUUCCUACAUUCCUUUCGACUAUCUUAACAAAAGGUAUGACCAUAGCAAGUCCUACCACACUUAAAUAGAUAAAUUCACCCUCACAUCGUUGGGGAAUAUCCACAGAAGGGUCUUUGUCAUUAUGUUCUGCUUUUUGGGGAUGAUAGUAUUUCCUAUUAUUUGACUUGCUUGAAGGAUUCCUACAUUCCUUUCGAUUAGUUGUACAAGAGGUACGGCCAUAGUAAGUCAUACCGCACUUACCCAAAUGACUUUGCCCUCACCUCAUUGGGGCAUAUCCAUAGAAGAGUCUUCAUCUUUAUGUUCUGCCUUUUUGGGAUGAUAGUAUAUCCUAUGAAGAAGGCUAGGAUUCAUACCAGACUGGCCAUGGUCACCAAGACUUUUAUGGAAGGAAUUGGCGGGCAGCCUUUUAGCAUUGUACCUAUGAUCGUUGCUGAGAUAUAUCGAGCCCUGGAAAACUGUCAAUGAGUUCCUGAGGGUUGUAACUUACUGCUCAAAUCUGGCUCAUAGAGUACCUACAAAAGGGUGAAUAUCGGCAAGAGAUACUGCAGAGAGACUGGGAUGAUCAUAUCACCGUCCAUCAGCCAAGGCGAAUGAUAUAUAUGCCUAACAUAUUUGCUCAACCAGAAGAUGCGACAGGGUGGGUAGAGUUGCUUUAAAAUCUGAAAGAGGACCAAGUGCAGUGGAUGUUCGAAUAGUUCCCCACUGAAGAGUUCAUUGUUCGAUCUCUAAAUGCACUAUUUCUUAUACUCAUCAGUCUGAGAGGAACUUAUCCUUAUGUCUCUAUUUGAGUCAUGAGGAAGGUAGGAAGAAAGCAGGUUAUACCAAGGGUCGACAAAGUAAGCCACUUCAGGGUUAAAUUUCAAGAUGACGAUAUUCCAUGCAAGUGCCAAGCUCAACACAUGUGGCAUUGCAAAAUAAUCCUGGGAAAGGGUUCCAUAGAACCAAACGGGUACCAUGCUUGUUAUACCCAUGCUUUCCAAGUUGGUUGGAAGACGAUCAUAGUGGGUUAGGACAACCGGGCUUGUUCGAGGUCAUAGAAUCAUCGACGAAAAUGAUUAUGUAUAGGAUAAGUACAACUAAUUGUGCAAGAGGAUCCGGGAAUGCAAAAGUGAGCAUCGAGAAAUUCAAGAAGCCCAUCAGAAGUUGAUUGAAGAAUGGAAAGAUAUAGCUCUCAGUUCCACAAGCGGCUAAUGUAUUUGGAACGGGGUUUAGUAGAGUUGGAAAGGAAGUUCAUCUAGAGGAAUGAAAACUACCAGAACUCUGAGGGAAAUGAAGAAGGACACUUGGCUUGAUCUUGCUUGCUGCUAGGACUGCGUGAGCUGGUGAAUCUAUUCGAUGGAGUUAAAGAUGCCUAGUCUGGGGAAGGCCCUUCUGGGACCAAGUAGUUAGGGGUCUUUUCUUUAUCUUUUAAAAAUGUAAUAAGGCCAUUUGCCACUACUGACAUUUCUACUUUAUGCUAUUUUACUGUUUUUUGGAUUUGUCUUAUUUUUGUCAAUAAAAUGAGGCAUUUAGCA